GCACAUGGUGGACCGUGCGGGGCAGACUUCGGUCUGGCCGGGGCCUUGCUAGCCGGUACUGCGACCCCCGCAUUGGUCCGCCACCCUU
rnacentral:antisense_RNA from 1 species